rnacentral:rRNA from 1 species
UACGUAGGGUGCGAGCGUUAAUCGGAAUUACUGGGCGUAAAGCGUGCGCAGGCGGUUUUGUAAGGCAGAUGUGAAAUCCCCGGGCUUAACCUGGGAAUGGCAUUUGGGACUGCAAGGCUUGAGUGCGGCAGAGGAGACUGGAAUUCCUGGUGUAGCAGUGAAAUGCGUAGAUAUCAGGAGGAACACCGGUGGCGAAGGCGGGUCUCUGGGCCGAUACUGACGCUGAGGAGCGAAAGCGUGGGGAGCGAACAGG